rnacentral:sRNA from 1 species
AGUAGAUUGGGAAACUCAUCAAACAUAUAUGAAAUGCCGAGAACAACUCUGUCAUCUAAUGGCGGGCCCCAUCCUCAGCCUUCGGGCGCAGGAGCAUCGCGGGAGAUAUCUCCCCGAUAGCCAGGCGGAUUACAAAGGAUGGCAAGAACUCAAAACUUGUCUUUCGGAGUUUCAUCGCAUCCUUUG